rnacentral:lncRNA from 1 species
CAGGGGCAUGCGGCGUGAGGGGACCCGGGCCAGUGCCGGCUGCCCAAGGGGGUCUCUUAAGCCAAGGCUCGCCGAAGCCAGCCUCCCUGUCCCCUUAGUACCACCCGGACGCAGGGCUUACCCGGGAGGCAGCAACACAGGCAGCUCAGGAGCACCCAGUGGCCCCUGGUCCAGGGCCUCCCGCUCAUAGCUCCACACAGUCCUCGGCUGCAGCUGCGUGGCACAGAAGUGGCAGCGUGAGGAGCAGAGAGGGCGCCUGUCCCGGCCGCUGCCACCUCUCUCACAGGGGCACCAUGCUGCUAGAGUACAGCAGGGGACCGCAUCACGCAGUGCUGGCCCUGGAAAUCCCCUAAACACCUGCCCGCAUCACCAAGGAGUCAGCAGUCAGGCUGGGUGACCCAGGGAAACAGCGGGACUCAUCCGUCGGUCAAACUUCUCAGGGGCACAAAGCUGGGCAGACAGCAGACUCCAGACGCCCCAGCUGCACCUCACUGGGUCCCCUCCGAGGCUCCCCUGUCCCCCUGGCCAAGAGGGCUGAGAGGAGGUGGCAGAGGCAGAACAGCA